rnacentral:tRNA from 1 species
GGAGGAGUGGCCGAGCGGUUGAAGGCACCGGUCUUGAAAACCGGCGACGCGCAAGCGUUCGUGAGUUCGAAUCUCACCUCCUCCGCCA